rnacentral:rRNA from 1 species
UUCGCCUGUUUUUCAAAAACAUCGCCUCUUGCACCAAUAUGAGAGGUCCAGCCUGCCCAGUGACCCAGUUCAACGGCCGCGGUAUCCUAACCGUGCGAAGGUAGCGUAAUCACUUGUUCUUUAAAUAAGGACUAGUAUGAAUGGCACCACGAAGGUUAUGCUGUCUCCUUUUUCUGAUCAAUGAAACUAAUUUUCCCGUGAAGAAGCGGGGAUUUUAAUAUAAGACGAGAAGACCCUAUGGAGCUUCAAACUAUAUAGCAUUGGCUUUAAUUCAUUUAUGCCCCCGGGUUCUUAUAUAAACUCUAGCCUUUUAACUAUCAGUUUUGGGUUGGGGUGACCGCGGAGCAAAAAUUAUCCUCCAUGAUGAACAGAGCUAUUCUUGAACCAAAAGCCACAACUUUAAGCACCAAUAAAUUGACAUAAAUUGACCCAAUAUUUUGAGCAACGAACCAAGUUACCCUAGGGAUAACAGCGCAAUCCACCCCAAGAGCCCCUAUCGACAGGUGGGUUUACGACCUCGAUGUUGGAUCAGGGUAUCCCAGUGGUGCAGCCGCUACUGAAGGUUCGUUUGUUCAACGAUUAAAACCCUACGUGAUCUGAGUCCAGACCGGA